ACGCACGCUGCAAAAGCGCAGCUGUGCGUUGGUUUCGUGCGCCUGCUCCGUCGUCUCUAUGUAACCUUGACAGGGACCUGUUUGCUCGCAGUAUACUCUCCAUUCGCGACAGCAACACCAGCACGCGCAUGUAUCACUUCUCGUGAUAAGACAAGAACAAUUCGCAGCGACAAAAUUGCGGGACACGUCCGGAGAGACGGCAAACUUGGCAUGGCACUUGUGGGAGGAUCCCAUCAUGGGCCCGAAGCCCGGACUUCAACUUCGUUACGGGUUGGCGUCGUCCAACCCUUGCUCACAGAUCUGUACCAGAUCACGAUGGCGUACGCUUACUGGAAAAGCGGCAAGCACGACGACGAAGCCGUGUUCGACCUUUUUUUCAGGAAGAAUCCGUUUCAAGGAGAAUUCACCGUGUUCGCUGGUUUGGAGGAUUGCAUUCGCUUUUUGCAAACCUUCCGUUACUCCACAAGCGAUAUUGAAUAUUUGAAGAGCAUCCUUCCGGCCAGCGUUGAACCCGAGUACUACGAUUACCUUUCAUCUUUGACGGCAGAAAAAGUGAAGCUUUAUGCAGUACCAGAAGGAACUGUUGUGUUCCCAAGGGUGCCGUUAAUAAGAGUGGAAGGGCCACUCGCUGUGCUGCAGCUCUUCGAAACCACGCUUCUAAACCUCGUAAAUUACGCCAGUUUAGUGACUACGAAUGCCGCAAGGUUCCGGUUAGCCGCUGGGUUGAAUAUAAGCCUGCUCGAGUUUGGCCUGAGACGAGCUCAAGGUCCUGAUGGAGGCCUGUCAGCAUCCAAGUACACCUACCUUGGUGGUUUUGAUGGGACGAGCAAUGUGCUCGCAGGGAAGCUCUUCAAUAUUCCGUUGAAGGGAACACAUGCCCAUGCUUUUAUCAUGAGCUUCUCUUGCUUGGAAGAUUGCAAACUCCGAAAAUUGAAGGCAGUCGGAGGAGAGGAAGUGGAUUUCCUGGAGCUGUGCUGCAAAUGGAGAAAGGAACUGACAGGCCUGUUCAAGACCAUAGAGGACGAGGCGAGCAGUGGGGAGCUGGCCGCAUUCAUCUCGUAUGCAGUUUCCUUCCCUGAAAAUUUCCUCGCGUUGGUUGACACCUAUGAUGUCCUUCGGAGUGGGCUGCUGAAUUUUUCCGCCGUUGCCAUGGCCCUGAAUGACCUUGGCUAUCGUGCGCUGGGUGUUCGCAUAGACAGUGGUGACCUGGCAUACCUCUCCUCGUGCGCCUUCCACAUCUUUGAUGAGCUCGCCGACAAGUACAACCAGGAGUGGUUCAAGACCCUCACCAUUGUGGCCAGCAAUGACAUCAACGAGGAGACCAUCAUCUCACUCAAUGAGCAGGCAUGGAAGAGUAUAAAACAUGGCAUGACAUGUGGGCACAAGAUAAAUAGCUUUGGCAUCGGAACUCAUUUAGUAACAUGUCAAAAGCAACCUGCCCUUGGCUGUGUCUACAAGCUAGUGGAGGUAAAGAACCUCUCUUGCAUCAAGCUCAGCCUCGACAUCCAGAAGGUCACAAUACCUGGAAAGAAGGCCUGUUACCGCCUCUAUGGCCACCAAGGCUAUGCUCUACUGGAUCUAAUGCAGAAAAUGGACGAGCCGCCACCUCAGAAAGGAAAGAAGGUUCUCUGUCGGCACCCUUUCCAGGAGUCAAAGCGUGCAUAUGUGAUACCAGACUAUGUUGAAGAUCUGUGCCUGCUCUGGUGGGACCAUGGCAAGAUUGCCAGAGAGCUGCCACCACUCGAUGCCAUACGAAACAGAGUAAAGGAGUCGUUGAAGACCCUUCGGCCAGACAUCAAGCGAACCUUGAACCCAACACCGUACAAGGUCUCUGUUUCUGACCACCUCUACAUGUUCAUGCACGAACUGUGGCUACAAAAUGCUCCCAUCGGGGAGCUCUCCUAGCGUGUCGCAAGCGGGUCGUCGUUCUGAGCACGUCAGGACAUCCGGCUGCGCUCAACAACAAAUGAAGAGUCGUCGUCGCGCUGCGGAUGUCGUGGUUCAGCACUCGUUGAUUGACGAAUAGUCAAAAAUGAUCGCAAGUCUGUAGCCGCAUUGUUAUUUGUUACCUGCUGCCUAGUUGUGAUAACAGGUGAAUCAAAAUAAGCCAGCCGUGAAUUUAUGGCUUUGCGCUCUUGCUCACGCCUGUACGAGAGGCAAUGGGAUCGUAUGGCUCCUGAGACCCUCAUUCAUUCGACGCUGGCGCACCUCUAUCUUUUCAAAAUUUUUCACGCUAUUUUGUUUCGCGUGGAAUCAAAACUCUCAUCACACUUGUUGCAUUUGUUUAUUCGGAAGUACAUAUUUUGUCGUACAACUUCUUUAUUUACGCUUUUGCCUUAGAUUGACGCACUGGAAUGCAAAAGUAACGUGCGUUCCAUGACACAUUGUGCAUCUCGUGGUUUGUGUGUAGUAUUACUAUUUUUGUGCAUGUUAGUUUGUUUUAGAUGGCUAUAUUUUACUCAGUGCGCCAUUUUAAUCUGUACGAGAUGUUUUACGAGGCUUUAGUUGGUGCUAAUGCACAUUCUUUGUCGGCUGCAAAAAAAAGUCGGUGUCAUUUUGCGCGGACAUUUGAUGCACUGCCAUUUUGAACGCAACAGACUUUAUUUGUAAGGAUACUGCCCUGUAACACGUAGAAAAUUUUCAUUGCACGACAUUUCCAGCAACAAAAAAAAAAUUACCAUUGUAGGUGGUGUUCUGUCUUCAGAAUAUAAGUGGACCAUGUAUUUUGGUUUUUUAGUUGCGUAGCCACAGCGAUUUGUUCAGUUAAAAAGGAGCAGCUACAAGCUGUUCCUUUUUAACUAGCAGCUACAAAGCAGUGUUCUUGUUUUUAACUGUGGUUGUACUGGAAGCUUUUUACUUGGCACAAUUCAGCCUAUGAAGGGAACUGAAAAUCACGGUGCUAGCGUAUGACUCUGUAGAUUGAUGAAGGUUUCCUUUUCUUCCUAUUCUUAUUCAUUGUCAAAACAGUGUGCAUUGUUAUCAUAAUCAAAUUGUUGUUUUCAACAUCUUCUAAGAGAGAGAGAGAUACGAUUAGUGGACAGUUACAUUCUCUGGGCUUGCCCAGUCGGCAAGCAUCAAAAGCAUUACAUUGGCAGUUGAGGCUGUGAUCUUUCUUUUUGCUUUGUUUUGCUAGACAAACUUGAUUUGUUCCACGGUCCUUGUUCAUAUUAUGACAUGAGCCCAUAACAUGUUUUUCCUUGGUAGGGUUCAUAGUACUCAUUUUUUUUUUAGAAAGAUUGUUGUGGAAUCACACCUACAGAGUUUCAAGCUAUGGAGCCUUUCCUAAAGCACGGGUCAAGGCCUCAGCUGCUUGCUUGAUUGAGGAACUCAAGAUGUGUGCAUUUUCGUGCUUGUAUAGGAUUGUCGGGAGGUCGAGAAAGUGGGUGAAUACAGGUGGCCAUGCGUGAGCACUCGUAGGCGUUUUCGAUUGGUGGAAGCCACAGAACAACUCCAUUUCUGACAGCAUUAGAUUUAAAAGACUCGCCAUGUAAUGUAGCAGCUAUGGUGAAUGUAUUUGCAUAACAUGAAUAUAUAUUUUAAGUUGUAUUGCUAUGGCACAUCAAUUUCAUGCUUUGCUAUACAUGCCUAUAUGGUGGUUCAUAUUUAUAGAACGAAAGAGCCACUUAACUUGGUUGCAGUAUUGUAACCACACAAUGAGAAAUGGAUGUAGAAGCAUUGAUGACUGGCGAUAGUCUUAGCAAAUUCGUUUCGUGAUAACUUCCACUGAACAUGUUCAGUUGACAUGUUCAGUCGCAUUCACUGAACAUGAAUUCAGUAAUGUCUCCUUUCUUGUGGCUUCCAUGUUUCGUAAACUUCUGCUAGUCCAGCGUAUCAAGUAAGUAUUGAGGUAGAGUACUUUGAAAUAUCUAAUGCACCUAAUAGCCUUGCUAUACACCUUUGGAAAAAGUCCCACAUUGUGGAGCACUAAGGUAUUGGUACACCUAGAUGCUUUUUAGGCAUGUACUUAAUCAUUGGUGACAGUUAAUUAUAUGGGCGAUUUCUGAAGUCAAAUUCCUGUUUUUGAAUGUUCACGCAUGGCCUGAAGAGCUUUAAUGGCUUUAAUUCAUUGUUUUUUUAAGUUAAUCUUUUUCUUGUUACUUGGCUUUUUGAUGCUUUUGGUUUGUAGCCCUUGAUGCUUAUAGAAUGCGGGCGACUUCAGACCCAUUGUUACGAAGUGCUUAUCAGUGUAGGCAGUGUAGAUGAUGCAUGCCAACAGUUUUCUUCUCACAACAUUUUAAAGGGACACUAAAGAGGAAUAUUUCGCUAAGCUCGAUUAGUAACUCAAAAUUUUCAAAUAGCAAAAUGUUCCAUCUUGGAAGCCAGAUAUGCAAAAACAAAAUGUGGUUGGUGACACUGUACUGAACGUUUUCACACCAGGUACCCAUGGCUUCAUGUAUUUUUGUAAGCAUCUGCUUAGGACCACUUCACUGUCCAACGAGAAAGAAACGUUUCAUUGCCCAAGUAAAUGCAUGGAGAUUUGAGAUUCCACCGUGAUGUACCUGUGCUCCGGUACAGCUUCAUAACUUGGGUAGGAAAGAUGCGCUUCCAUUCUUCUAUACUUAUAAUUGACCUUUCCCACCAGCUGUUAGCUCGGCUGAGGGAUUGACAAAAGUUGUAUGUCAUCUGCUUGUCAGCUGUUCUGGCUGUGCCCUGAAACACGGGUGAUCAGACUUUGGUUGACCAGUCGAAACAUGGAACUGUUAAUAUGAAAGAUAUAUGUAUUACCAGAAUACGGUGUUGAUAUUACACUUUAGCGUCCCUUUAACUAAGCUUCAUAGCUUACGUGCACCUAAUAGACGUGCUUGUUAUGGAAAGGCAAAGUGUACCUUUCGCGCUUGUAUACAUACCAGUGUUGUGUUAAGGAACUUGCAACGAGACAAGCUGUGUUGUGAUCAGUCUGCAACCUGCUCAGUGGCAUGAACAAAGCAUGGUGAAAAGUAUGAUCGGCAAUGCAGAUUUAGAGUAUUCUACCCUAAGGGCAAUAGUAUUUUUGUAACAGCGUAUAUUACUCUGCAUCACUUUCUGCAAAAAGGUCAUUAUACAGAUCUGAAUCAUGCUCUAGACAUUCUUUUACGCUUUUAUUUUUGCAAGUUUUGCUUUUUUAUCUCUGUGGUUGUUGCACACUCAUUUUUAGUUUAGACAGUGUGCGGCCUGCUCUUAAUGUGUGUGGAAGCUCCUUACUUGUAGAAGUGAAAAAUGUAUCUAUGCAGUAGCGUACACUAUAUAUAUUUACUGUAUAUCACAGAUGCAUGACUGCUCUAGUCCUAGUCACUAGUAUGUACGACAUGAUAUUCAGCUUUUUUUUUUUUUUUUUCUUCUGUUACCUGUUCAAGUUUUCUGAAGAUUAUUGCCUUUUCCUUUUUCACGCGACAGUUUCUACACGUGGAAAGCAACAUCAUUCGUGUAUUAAAUGGCCUUUCUUUUGGAUGCAUAAUCUGUUCAUUAAAUGCUAGUUUUCAUUACG
rnacentral:misc_RNA from 1 species